rnacentral:rRNA from 1 species
GAUUUUAGUUUUCGUAGGUGACCUGCGGAAGGAUCAUUA